GACGAACGCUGGCGGCGUGCUUAACACAUGCAAGUCGAACGGAAAGGCCCUGCUUUUGUGGGGUGCUCGAGUGGCGAACGGGUGAGUAACACGUGAGUAACCUGCCCUUGACUUUGGGAUAACUUCAGGAAACUGGGGCUAAUACCGGAUAGGAGCUCCUGCUGCAUGGUGGGGGUUGGAAAGUUUCGGCGGUUGGGGAUGGACUCGCGGCUUAUCAGCUUGUUGGUGGGGUAGUGGCUUACCAAGGCUUUGACGGGUAGCCGGCCUGAGAGGGUGACCGGCCACAUUGGGACUGAGAUACGGCCCAGACUCCUACGGGAGGCAGCAGUGGGGAAUAUUGCACAAUGGGCGGAAGCCUGAUGCAGCAACGCCGCGUGCGGGAUGACGGCCUUCGGGUUGUAAACCGCUUUCGCCUGUGACGAAGCGUGAGUGACGGUAAUGGGUAAAGAAGCACCGGCUAACUACGUGCCAGCAGCCGCGGUGAUACGUAGGGUGCGAGCGUUGUCCGGAUUUAUUGGGCGUAAAGGGCUCGUAGGUGGUUGAUCGCGUCGGAAGUGUAAUCUUGGGGCUUAACCCUGAGCGUGCUUUCGAUACGGGUUGACUUGAGGAAGGUGGGGGAGAAUGGAAUUCCUGGUGGAGCGGUGGAAUGCGCAGAUAUCAGGAGGAACACCAGUGGCGAAGGCGGUUCUCUGGGCCUUUCCUGACGCUGAGGAGCGAAAGCGUGGGGAGCGAACAGGCUUAGAUACCCUGGUAGUCCACGCUGUAAACGGUGGGUACUAGGUGUGGGGUCCAUUUCACGGGUUCCGUGCCGUAGCUAACGCUUUAAGUACCCCGCCUGGGGAGUACGGCCGCAAGGCUAAAACUCAAAGGAAUUGACGGGGCCCCGCACAAGCGGCGGAGCAUGCGGAUUAAUUCGAUGCAACGCGUAGAACCUUACCUGGGUUUGACAUGGAUCGGGAGCGCUCAGAGAUGGGUGUGCCUCUUUUGGGGUCGGUUCACAGGUGGUGCAUGGCUGUCGUCAGCUCGUGUCGUGAGAUGUUGGGUUAAGUCCCGCAACGAGCGCAACCCUUGUUCACUGUUGCCAGCACGUUAUGGUGGGGACUCAGUGGAGACCGCCGGGGUCAACUCGGAGGAAGGUGGGGAUGACGUCAAGUCAUCAUGCCCCUUAUGUCCAGGGCUUCACGCAUGCUACAAUGGCUGGUACAGAGAGUGGCGAGCCUGUGAGGGUGAGCGAAUCUCGGAAAGCCGGUCUCAGUUCGGAUUGGGGUCUGCAACUCGACCUCAUGAAGUCGGAGUCGCUAGUAAUCGCAGAUCAGCAACGCUGCGGUGAAUACGUUCCCGGG
rnacentral:rRNA from 1 species